rnacentral:rRNA from 1 species
AUUGAACGCUGGCGGCAUGCCUUACACAUGCAAGUCGAACGGCAGCAUGAUCUAGCUUGCUAGAUUGAUGGCGAGUGGCGACGGGUGAGUAUACAUCGGAACGUGCCCUGUACGUGGGGGAUAACUAGUCGAAAGAUUAGCUAAUACCGCAUACGACCUGAGGGUGAAAGUGGGGGACCGCAAGGCCUCAUGCUAUAGGAGCGGCCGAUGUCUGAUUAGCUAGUUGGUGGGGUAAAGGCCCACCAAGGCGACGAUCAGUAGCUGGUCUGAGAGGACGAUCAGCCACACUGGGACUGAGACACGGCCCAGACUCCUACGGGAGGCAGCAGUGGGGAAUUUUGGACAAUGGGCGAAAGCCUGAUCCAGCAAUGCCG